GAAAGAUGAUUUUCAGAGACUGGAGCCCUUAUACCACAAGAUUUCCUGCUUUUGCAAGCACUGGAGUCUGACAUAUAUGCAGCAGAAUGGAGAAGGAGCUGGGAUCCUCUUUGGAGCCCUGCGAGGGGAAAGGCAACUCCGGAACCAUGGCCCACGCGGGGAGGAUAUCUGGCUACUGGCAUCUCCAGAUGUACUAGGACUUCACAGAAACAGGGAAGAGAAGCAUUGCUACUGCUGUGAGAGUUCAAUGAGAAAAGCCAUCUUUUGAAGAUAAAUGUACUGCAUAUGCAGUACAAGUUUAGGAUGGUAACCAGUACCUCUAAUAACAGCCAGAAGCAAACAGAUAGCUAAGAGAGAGCAUAGUACAUGUUUAUGUGUACAACGGUGGGUCAUGCACGUUAUGUUUUCUGCCACACAAGAUUUCUCUAUAUGUUUCAAAGAUAGCCCCAAGAAAAGUGUUUUUCAACAGUCAAGAUGUGAAGCUAAAAAUGCAAAGAAUAAAACCUUCACAGUCACUGGCAGAAGUCAGUAUUUGCUACCUGUUAUCACAUUGUGCUCUCUAAUGUGUCGCUAUUAUUUCCACACCAUGUGCUGUGCUGAAGUGCAGAGAUCUUGGUUAUUGCUGUUACUUUCAUUGCAGUGUUGAUGGAGGGUUCAAGGGCCUGACAUCCAGCAGAUACCUGGUUCCAGUGCAAGUGCAGAGGCUUUAGAAGCUGCUGACUCAUUAUAUUUUACCUUGCCAGAGCUUCAGUUGGGAAUGUAUUAAUCCUGCAAAGCUCUUGUGUUUUCAUUGAAUGUAUUUGUGGUGUCUAGGUGUUACUGCUGGCAACGUUGUGUUUUUCUGAAGCUUAGGUCUGUAGAUAUGUACUUUUUUUCUCUUUCUCAAAUAAAUUUUUAAUAAUUAAUUAUAAAA